UACGAAGGGGGCUAGCGUUGCUCGGAAUCACUGGGCGUAAAGCGCACGUAGGCGGAUUGUUAAGUCAGGGGUGAAAUCCUGGAGCUCAACUCCAGAACUGCCUUUGAUACUGGCGAUCUCGAGUCCGGAAGAGGCGAGUGGAACUGCGAGUGUAGAGGUGAAAUUCGUAGAUAUUCGCAAGAACACCGGUGGCGAAGGCGGCCACCUGGACGGUAACUGACGCUGAGACGCGAAAGCGUGGGGAGCAAACAGG
rnacentral:rRNA from 1 species